CCUACGGGUGGCUGCAGUUUCGAAUCAUUCACAAUGGGCGAAAGCCUGAUGGUGCGACGCCGCGUGAGGGAUGAAGGUCUUCGGAUUGUAAACCUCUGUCACUGGGGAGAAAACGCUUUGAGUUAAUAGUUCAAAGCCUGAUUUAACCCGGAGAGGAAGCAGUGGCUAACUCUGUGCCAGCAGCCGCGGUAAUACAGAGACUGCAAGCGUUAUUCGGAUUCACUGGGCGUAAAGGGUGCGCAGGCGGCCGUGUGUGUUAGAUGUGAAAUCCCGGG
rnacentral:rRNA from 1 species